UUCGCCAUUUAGUUUAAAGUGUAGGCUCAAAAUCUAUUUAAAUACAAGUGCUUUAAUUUUAACUUUUCGAUGGAGCGCUUGUUAUAGGUUUUGUUUGUCUUUUUCUUGCAUGGCCAGGAUGCGGUGCCGCAGCAUGCUUCUGAAGAAGGCUCCUACAGUUCUGUGCGACCUUUCCGACCUGACCGUUAUGAGAAUGAGGACGCUGCUGGUUUGAGUGCCGGGUUGGACGAAGAACAGAAUGUACACGAGUGCUAGUAGUACAAGUUUUGGAGUUUACAAAGUUUUAGCAUUGAUAGCGUGUACAUGAGUUGAUAAUUAGUUAAAGCAAUUUGUGUUUACAUUGUUAAAGCUAGAAGUAUAUGACACAUUUCAUCAUCAAAAUCCUUUUUUGAUGAUUCUGCAGCUUCCCAUCCGGUGUGUGGACAAUGCGGAUGGAUUUCCUCCAGUGGUCGUCUACGGUGAUGAAACAUUCGAAAGUGAUGCGGUGCCGCAGCAUGCUGCUGGAGAAGGCCCCUACAGUACUGUGCGACCUUUCCAAUCUGGACGCUGCUGGUUCGAGUGCCGGGUUGGACAGAAUGUAGACGAGUACUAGUAGUACAAGUACCCCAAGGUACUCAACAGUGUUUGAAUGGCAGCUUCAAUGAGCUUCUGUACUUCUAUUUGAGUAAAGGAUGUGUCUACUUUAGCCAUCUCUGCACUUCUGACAGGUGUUUUUUCUAUUUAAGUUUUUUAUCCAAAACCUUUAAGUUAUUUUAAAUGUGUUAAAUAAUUUUAGUAUGUAUGCUGCUGGAAACAGUCCCCUGUUGUGAGGACAAACAACAACAAAGAUGUGUGUGAGAAGUGUAGCUACUACACAUAGAUAAACUGAAAAAUAAUGAA